rnacentral:snRNA from 1 species
GUGCUCUCUUUGGCAGCACACAUACUGAAACUGGAACAAUACAGAGAAGAUUAGCAUGGCCCCUGUGCAAGGAUGACACGCAAAUCUGUGAAGUGUUCCAUAUUUUU